rnacentral:lncRNA from 1 species
AUGUUCAGAAAGUGGUCUCCUGUACCAAUUAAUUCACGGGUACUUCCCACUUUGUCUUCUAAUAGGUUCAGUGUGGCUGGGUUUAUGUUGAGGUCUUUGAUCCAUUUUGACUUAAUUUUGUGCAUGGAGAUAGGCUUGGAUCUAUCUGUAGUCUUCUACUUGUCCGCAUCCAAUUAUGCCAGCACCAUUGUUGAAGAUGUUCUCUAUAACUCCCCUUGUCUUGGUUUCCCACACAGGGUCCUAGGAAGCUUGGAGCAUCUGCCUGAGCCUCUCAGCCAGUCAUGUGAAGUCUUAAGUGUCUAUGCUGACUCGUUGAAGCUGAAGUCUUCUCUACAGAACAGGGUUUCUUCCUGGAAGAACCUGUGAGGACUCUACUGCCCACCACUGUUUCUCACAGUUUCUGGACCUCUGGGCCCAGAGCCCAAACCUCUCCAUAAUUCUGCACCAUCAGAAGCCUCGCCUCCCAUCCUUACUGCACUGUGUGACCCAGCCCUCCCCUGUCGAGGAAGCUUCUAGGGUUGGCAUCUCCCCAGACCUGGCUUUCUGGGGCUAGGUCACAAAGCCACUGCUGAUGCUCUACUUGAUGGCCUCGCUGUGAUCCCUGGUUGCUGCUGUUCCUGAGACAAUGAGGAUCUAGGCGGGCCUGUCCCUCCUACGGGGACCUGGGGCAUGGGUGGGGGGGGGAUGAGUCCCCUGGUGCAGUCACAUGCCAGGGACCUUCUCAGCAGCACUCAUGACCCAAGCAGGCACUAGAUUGCCCUCAGAAGGGUUUGGCUUCCUUUCUUCUUUUCAAUGAAUUAAAUCAAUUAAGUCAUUUGGAAUUACUCCUGCUGCCACUUGAGGCUUUCUCCUUGGUGAGGCCUGACUCAUUAGGGCAAAAGGGCAGGUGCCAAAGUCAGCCAUGACAUCCUGUGUCAGAGCACUUCCUGUGGGCGGCCUGGGGGUCCUGCCCCUGGACCAGUACAUAGGGCAGGAGAAGAUCAAAUGUAGGCCAGAGCUAGGUCCAGGCUGGCCUCAGGUAGAGACUCAGAGAAUUGGGGUGUGGCUUAUCAUGGAAUUCCCUCGACCGAAAGAAGGGCUCAGGCUCUCCAGAGGACAGGGCACCUGUGUUUCCCAUCAGCUUCAUUUAUGUUGUGUGGUGAACCACUUUGUUGUUCUUUUUGGAAGCAGAUAGAGUAGACCACAUCAACUAGUAGGGCACAGGGAUUCUCAGACCCUGUCUCUGUCACAUCAACCAGUGGAGUACAGGGAUGCUCAGAUCCUGCCUGCAUCUGUCACAUUAACUAGUAGGGCACAGGGAUGCUCACAGACCCUGUGUCUGUCGCAUCAUUUAGGGGAAACAGGGAUGUUCACAGAUCCUGCAUCC